rnacentral:rRNA from 1 species
AUUGAACGCUGGCGGCAGGCCUAACACAUGCAAGUCGAGCGGAUGAAGGGAGCUUGCUCCUGGAUUCAGCGGCGGACGGGUGAGUAAUGCCUAGGAAUCUGCCUGGUAGUGGGGGAUAACGUCCGGAAACGGGCGCUAAUACUGCAUACGUCCUGAGGGAGAAAGUGGGGGAUCUUCGGACCUCACGCUAUCAGAUGAGCCUAGGUCGGAUUAGCUAGUUGGUGGGGUAAAGGCCUACCAAGGCGACGAUCCGUAACUGGUCUGAGAGGAUGAUCAGUCACACUGGAACUGAGACACGGUCCAGACUCCUACGGGAGGCAGCAGUGGGGAAUAUUGGACAAUGGGCGAAAGCCUGAUCCAGCCAUGCCGCGUGUGUGAAGGAGGUCUUCGGAUUGUAAAGCACUUUAAGUUGGGAGGAAGGGCAGUAAGUUAAUACCUUGCUGUUUUGACGUUACCAACAGAAUAAGCACCGGCUAACUUCGUG